CUACGGGUUGCACCAGUGGGGAAUAUUGCACAAUGGGCGCAAGCCUGAUGCAGCCAUGCCGCGUGUAUGAAGAAGGCCUUCGGGUUGUAAAGUACUUUCAGCGGGGAGGAAGGGAGUAAAGUUAAUACCUUUGCUCAUUGACGUUACCCGCAGAAGAAGCACCGGCUAACUCCGUGCCAGCAGCCGCGGUAAUACGGAGGGUGCAAGCGUUAAUCGGAAUUACUGGGCGUAAAGCGCACGCAGGCGGUUUGUUAAGUCAGAUGUGAAAUCCCCGGGCUCAACCUGGGAACUACAUCUGAUACUGGCAAGCUUGAGUCUCGUAGAGGGGGGUAGAAUUCCGGGUGUAGCGGUGAAAUGCGUAGAGAUCUGGAGGAAUACCGGUGGCGAAGGCGGCUCCCUGGACGAAGACUGACGCUCAGGUGCGAAAGCGUGGGGAGCAAACAGGAUUAGAUACCCCGGUAGUC
rnacentral:rRNA from 1 species